rnacentral:SRP_RNA from 1 species
GCUGGGUAUGGUGGCAGGUGCCUGUAAUCCCAGCUACUCAGGAGGCUGAGGCAGGAGAACUGCUUAAACCGGGGAGGCGAAGGUUGUAGUGAGCUGAAAUCGUGCCAUUGCACUCCACCCUGGGGAACAAAAGUGAAACUCUUAAAAAAAAAAAACUAGCUGGGCGUGGUGGCAUCCGCCUGUAAUCCCAGUUACUCAGGAGGCUCAGGCAAGAGAAUCACUUGAACCCGGGAGGUGGAGGUUGCAGUGAGCCCAGAUCGCGNNNNNNNNNNCGCGAUCUGGGCUCACUGCAACCUCCACCUCCCGGGUUCAAGUGAUUCUCUUGCCUGAGCCUCCUGAGUAACUGGGAUUACAGGCGGAUGCCACCACGCCCAGCUAGUUUUUUUUUUUUAAGAGUUUCACUUUUGUUCCCCAGGGUGGAGUGCAAUGGCACGAUUUCAGCUCACUACAACCUUCGCCUCCCCGGUUUAAGCAGUUCUCCUGCCUCAG